rnacentral:rRNA from 1 species
GCAGCCGCGGUAAUAAGUAGGGGGCAAGCGUUAUCCGGAUUCACUGGGUGUAAAGGGAGCGUAGACGGCGACGCAAGUCUGGAGUGAAAGCCCGGGGCCCAACCCCGGGACUGCUCUGGAAACUGCGUCGCUGGAGUACGGGAGGGGCAGGCGGAAUUCCUGGUGUAGCGGUGAAAUGCGUAGAUAUCAGGAGGAACACCGGCGGCGAAGGCGGCCUGCUGGACCGUGACUGACGUUGAGGCUCGAGAGCGUGGGGAGCAAACAGGAUUAGAUUACACUGGUAGUCCACGCCGUAAACGAUGAUUGCUAGGUGUCGGGGGACGACAGUGCCCCGGUGCCGCCGCAAACGCAGUAAGCAGUCCACCUGGGGAGUACGUUCGCAAGAAUGAAACUCAAAGGAAUUGACGGGGACCCGCACAAGCGGUGGAGCAUGUGGUUUAAUUCGAGGCAACGCGAAGAACCUUACCCAGCCUUGACAUCCCGGCGAGAACGGGGCAAUGCCCGUUGCCCUUCGGGGCGCCGGAGACAGGUGGUGCAUGGUUGUCGUCAGCUCGUGUCGUGAGAUGUUGGGUCAAGUCCCGCAACGAGCGCAACCCCUGCCCCCAGUAGCCAGCGUAGAGGCGGGCACUCUGGGGGGACUGCCGGGGACAACCCGGAGGAGGGCGGGGACGACGUCAAAUCAUCAUGCCCCUUACGGCUGGGGCUACACACGUGCUACAAUGGGGCCGACAGAGGGAAGCGGACGCGCGAGCGCGAGCGGACCCCAAAAACGGCCCCCCAGUUCGGAUUGCAGCCUGCAACUCGGCUGCAUGAAGCCGGAAUCGCUAGUAAUCGCGGAUCAGAACGCCGCGGUGAAUACGUUACCGGGUCUUGCACACAUCGCCCGUCA